rnacentral:lncRNA from 13 species
AAAACAAUGAAGAAGUUAACAAUGAUGAGGAUCACACAUUGAUCUAACUUUACUUUUCAACAGAUUCUCUCUUGCUGGCUGUACCAAUUGCAAAAUUACCUUUGCAAUUGGUAUGGCCAAUUGGCUUUGACAGGAUGGGCAAACAUAAUUGAAACUAAUAUACUAUAUAGUGGUACUAUUAAGGAAUCAUCCACUACCAGCUGUAACCAUUCUGAUGGAUUGGCUGACAAAAGUGACUUUUUAAAACGCACAUCACCAUUUUUCUCUUUUGUGGUGCAGGGAAUUACACCUCCAUAGUUAACUUCUAUAUCUAAGAUAGAUAUCUCCCGCACAGGACUCCAGACGAAGACUCCUGUUAUUUCUUCUUGUUCGUACUGCUACCUUGUGAGGUAACUAACCUAGGCCACCUUGCCAACCUCGCUCACACUACUGAAACGCUACACGCUGCCUGUUACCAAUCCAGCUAGGCCCAAAGGGCCACGCUCAUAAAUACACAGCAGGACAACUAUAUCAUACUGACAAAUCAACAACAGUUGUUGGGAGGAGUACAACAAACCGAGGAAAAUAGAAGUCGGACCAGCGGUGUCUGCCGAGGGGGUUUGCGGUCUGUUUUCGUCUUGUGUGUCGGAGGCCAGUGGAAAGAGCUGCGGGGAAAGUCUGACACUUCCAUGUUGUUAAAAUGGCUGUAAAACCUGGAAGGCCGCGACGCUCGUUCUUGGCAAAAGAGCAUCAAAUUGGAGAUGGCCUUGAUAUCAAAGCAGAGACAGCUGGUCCAUCCCAGGCUGGAACACCACAACAUGUUCCCCAACCUGAUCCAACCCAGGCCUCUUCAUUCCAAGCCCCUCAGGUCAGCUCACCGCAGAUGAACCAAUCUCAGGGACUGGGUCAGGGACAGCUCCUCAGAGCUCACAUCCCGCUGAUAAACUUCCAGCCCCUCAUCCACGUCCAGCCCGCUUCCCAGGAUUUCACAGUCCUCUGCCAGGUGCACCAGGCGGGCUACGCCAUGCUACACAAGGAGAUCAUGGACACUAAAAACAGUAUGGAGGAAAUGCUGCAUCCUGUGUUGUCCUCCAUCAGCCACAGUCUGGAGAGACUUGCUAGUGCUGUUGAAAGGCUGUCCGAUCCUAGGGAGUCACCACUACAGACUGUCACUCCCAUCACAAUGCCUCUCCAACACAGACUGAAUGGACCGUCAUACACCGAUUCCACAGGAGUACAUCCUUUGUGAUGUUUGCUGGUUUCUUGCAAUGUUGACGACUGUUUACUUCUGUUUUAACAAUACAAUGUCCUACAAGUAUUUCAAGUAAAAAAUAUAAAAAAUCAUUAACCAAAAAAUAUGAACUAGGGUAUGCUAUCGAAUGUAUGGUGUGUUCAUUGUUGCAUGUAUUUAUUAGAAUGCUUUCAUAAGAGUGGUAAAAUGUAGUCUAUAUAAUUCAAUCAAACCUGCUGUAUUCACACAAUAGCGUUUUCCAAAUGCAUUGACUGGUUUUACUGUAGCCUAUAAAAACCUACAACUAUUUAGCCUACUAGACAGUAGACCCCUCAAAGGGAGACUUUGCUUUCACUUUUCAGAAGGAGAAGUGUAUGUGUGUGGGGUAAAGUUUGUAAAUCUGUAGAGAAUUGCUUAUGGUUUUGGAAGGCAAUGUGCAGACCAUGAUUUAAUGAUAUCUUUCAAUCUGUUUCUAAAUGUUUUUGGGGGAAUAAAUAUGCUGUGAACCACAGUAUCAUAAAUGUAACCUAUCACCUAUCUAUUACGAUUUAUCUAUAGGUCUAAUGUCAAGAAUUUCAAGAAUCUAAUCAUUCAAUAUUGUGGUGAUUGUUACUGUUUUGAAGAAGCGUUUAUUUUGGGCACAUUUUCCCCAACAAAGGGAGGGCAAUAUACUGCGCACGGCCGGUAUCAACUGCGCAAGCGUAUUGUAUUUUGUGGUCCUGCGAAUGGUAGCCCAGAUUGUUUUGGAACGCCUGAACGGUGUCCAGUCCUUAUUAGUGUUUUCCGUAACCGUAAUAACCGUUGCUGUUUUGUAACUGAACAAACACCCAUUUUGUAAUUGUGUUUUUAAUACGUUGCAGCCUUGAGAUGAGUAGCCUAGGCUAUGUAAACAUUCAGAACACUAUUGUGUCUUUCCGUCAUUUUUAGCGUUUGCGCUUCGUUUAUGGCUUUCCCUGAGAAAAUAUGGAUUCCGAUAACGAUAAGAGAGAUGGGAGGCCAGAGAUCGAGAUGCUUCAUAUGGAGAGGCAACGAAAGAAGCGUUUCAAUGAGGAAGAGCUCAAAAUACUCGUGCGUGAAGUGCAAGCUCGACGACCUGGCCCUGGCUACACCCGUGUUGCACAGGCCGCAUGGGAAGAUAUCGCAGCAAAGGUGAGCGCUUCUUCGUUUGGAUACCUCAGAACCGGGAUGCAGUGCAAGAAGCGAUACAAUGACCUGAUGCGCAGACAACCCUGUUAUAUCAAGAAGGGUCCUGGGUCAAAGAGGAAGCGAGUGAACAGGCAGACAGAAGCAAAACUUCACCAUCCAACAGAAGAGGAGGAGCCUUUCCUCUCAGUCCGAACAAAACGUUAUAAAUUUGAGUUUGUGGAUGGAGAAGGACCCAUUGCAUUACAAGGUAAAUUUUAUGGUUGAAUUUUUUUUAAACAUUAGUUUUUGUUAGCUUUGUAAUGUGUGUGUGCCUACUACGUGAUGUCAUGUGGUAAAACAGUAUGUAAGGAACACUAAAUAUAGCUUAUUUUUCUAUAUUUUUUUCUUCCCUAGCGUUUCAGAAUGAAGUUGGUUCCCAAUGCAUUGGGGUGGAGCUGGACAGUCCCUCGACUAACCACCUGGUUGAUGGUCAACAGACUCUGGACGCUGCAGCAUCGUCUGAGGCAAGCAGAGUCCCUCCACCCCAGACACACACGCCUGCCACUUCACCCAGGCCCACUUUACCCCAAACCAACCUCCAACCCCGGGUGAACGUAGUCAGAUUGAACCUUGAAACUGGUACCCAGGUCAGCACACCUCAAGUGACUGGAACUGUCCACAUCCCUCAGUCUCAGGGCACCCUUCAACCCCAAACCAAUACACACCCGGUCACUGUUCAACCCCAGGCUGAUGGUUUGCUUCAAGGUUAUGCUCCAUUCCACGUAAACAUACCCCAAGUAGUGCCACUGCCACCGCAGACUACUCUACCCCAAGCGAACCAAUCAAAGGCUACUCUAGCCCAAGCCAACCUAUCACAGGCCUAUAUACCCCAAGCAAACCAAUCACAGGCCUAUAUGCCCCAGUCCACUGUGCAGCCUCAGACGAACAUACCCCAAGUGAACCAACCUACGGUCCACAUUCCUUUGAUUGAGGUCCAACCACACAUGCAGGUCCAGCUACCUCCUCAGGACCUGGCAGCACUGGUCCAGGUGCAUCGCCAAGGUUACAACAUGUUACAGAGGGAGCUGGUCAGUAUGAGGAGCAGCAUGGAGAGAGUGCUGCAGCCCUUGCUAUCAUCCAUCAACAACAACCUGGAAAGACUGGUUAAUGCUGUUGAACACCUCUCUGGGGUUAAGAGCACACCUCAGACCAACAGUGUUGUCCAUGGUCAUCAUGAUGCUCCCUCCUGACCUUGUUAGGUUACGUUCACCAUCUAUCUGAGAGUAGGACAGGAUGUGUUCAGGUGGACGCAGAGCUCCUGUUUAAAGACUCUUUAUUGCUAUUUCAAAUGUCUACCAUCCAGGUAGAGAUGGACUAAAAACAUUGAGUAAAGUUCUGUGCAGUAAAUGUAACUCUAGGAAUCUUUGUACUGUACAUGCAGGUCCAUUUUGUUAUCAGAGAUAUGUUUCUCUUGUCGAUGACUGUAAAUAAUGUAUGCUCCCUUUUCUCAGUAAUCUUUUUUUGUUCAAGGUGCCUAAGCCUCUAUGGACCUCCUGUUGAGUUCCGAAAUAAAAUGUAUUUUCAAAAAAAGUGUUCAAACAGUUAUAAUCCUGUCAUUGUUCGUUAAUGCACACAUUCCACGAGGUCAACUUGAGCACAGGCCAUUCAUUUAGUAUAGAAGUGUUCUGAACCUUUUUCUUAACCUGCUUGAUCAUUUUCUCAGAGGCAUGAUACAGACGGGGGGGAGGGAUACAAAAAGAGAAGGCACCUCCAUCACUUUGUCCUGCGCCCACACUGGAGAGCAAGUGAGGGAAUCAGGGAAGACUGCAGAACACAUGACAUUUCAGUCCCGGGCUGUGUUUCUUCCUUCCUCCUUUACCCCUCCCUCCCUCACUCCGUCUUUACCUCCCUCUCUCCACCCUCAAAUGAUUGACAUGUCGUCUCCUACAACCAAAGCUGAGGUGGGACGACUCUGGUGCUGCAGUUGCCACAGACGGUCUGGAAACCACUCAACUUUGUUAGUGUGGAAAUGACAGCCUUAUGACGUCUUCCCAGCAACAUUAAGCAUGCAGAACUAAACGGUAACAACUCAAAGACAUCUCAGGACAUCCAACCACUCCUGGGGGUCUACUUUCCUUCAUCUCAACUAACAUGAGAGAACUGGACAGGUGAAAGCAAUGUACCAGUAGGCAGGCACCUCCAGAAUAUUAAUCAUUUAUCAUCUGGUACCAUUCCCAUCUGAUCCACAACCUGUUUGGAAAGACUAAGUACUCAGUUAAACCUAAACAACUUGGCUGGAGUUAUAUGAAAAACC